rnacentral:rRNA from 1 species
GUAACCUGCCUUAUAGUGGGGGAUAGCCUUUCGAAAGGAAGAUUAAUACUGCAUAAGAUUGUAGUAUCGCAUGAUAUAGCAAUUAAAGGAGCAAUCCGCUAUAAGAUGGACCCGCGUCGCAUUAGCUAGUUGGUGAGGUAAUGGCUCACCAAGGCGACGAUGCGUAGCCGACCUGAGAGGGUGAUCGGCCACAUUGGGACUGAGACACGGCCCAGACUCCUACGGGAGGCAGCAUG